UCUCUGCUGUGGUCUACUUAUUCAAGUGUCUCUCCUAGAUGUGAUGAAACGACCUAUGACGAUUUUCUCUUUCUUGCAAAGAGUUCCCCAGGAGACGCCAAUGACUUCCUUAUUCUGGCAUUUCUGGGAAUGCAAGCCCUGCUACCCAGCUUCCUCUCCUCUGGCUUGGCUGUCAGCUGUGAGUCUUGGAUUAUUCACGGAGGAGUCGGAAAUCCGCUGUGACCCCAAACAGUGGAGGACAUACCUCAAUAAGUCAUGGCACAGCUCUCUCCAAAGGAAUUCUCAAAAAUUCCCUUCCAAUUGUUCAACUACCAGCCUUUGUAAGUGGACUUGGCAGUCUUGCGAUUUUUGGGGAGGAGCCAUUUCCUUUUUAAAUUACAGAAGUGUCUGCCACCUCCUUUGGAAGGUACCUGAGGGUAAACUUCUGUUUCUUAUACCCUGUUACACUGAUUUCGUGUGACCUUCUGUAGGAAGGAUGGUUGGUUGAAUCCACAAACACCCAUGGAGGUUUGUGUUCUGGGCCCCAGGGAAGCUGGAAGUAUCAGAGCUGGGACCUCCUCGGGAGUCCAGGAGCUCUUAGUCUAGUAGGGAAAGGGAGCUCUGGACACAUUGCCUUCCUCUCAGUUAACCAGCUUAGACCCGCCAAUCUGACAGGAAACGAUUUGAACCCAUGGCAGAGCCCAAGACCUUCACAUUUCUUUCUUUUUUGAAGGGGGAAAUUGAGCACACCUCAGAAAUUUUCUCAAUAACUGAAUGAGAGAAGUAGGACCACCAGGUUUUGAAGUGAUUUUUCUCUCUUGGAGGUCAAGAAAUUAAAAGAAAGCCCCAGCAUCUUUACAGAGCAAGCACAGAGGAGUCCAAAGGUUUCAUCAGAAAGGAAAUUGGAGGCUCUGUCAGCACACCCCCCUGCCAGACUCACGGGAGCUGAGGUCUGCAGAAGGAAUAGGCAAGUUUCCUUCAUCAGUGCCGGAGGUUAAAAGGGGGGUAGGUGGAGGCUUGCAGGAGUUUGACAGGCGCACGGUCUGUUCAGGAGAACCUGAGGGUUUGUAUCCUCUACAGCAUGGUGACCCUUAGCAGCCAUCACUAGGCUGCUCCUGGUUCUCCGUUUCUGUGUGGAGCUGACUGAGCUUCUGCUUUAGGGUUUUGUGUUGCGCCUCAGAAUUGCAGGGGGUAGGUGGUGUAGGUCACUUUGGUGCCUCAAAGUGCUGACUUCAGUUCAGCCUCUACCACUUUCAAGGUCUGUAUUUCUGGAUAUGUCCUGUUAGCCUUUCAAAACCUCAGUUUCCUUGUCUGUAAAAUGGGGGCAACUAUGCCUACCUUUCAGGAUUGUAGUGAAGAUGAAAUGAGCUAUCAUGUGGGUAAAGCCCCUGGGACAUGGUAGAGGCUUGGUAAUUGCCCUUUUUUACUCCCUUGCCUUGCUGCCGGAAUAUUGUGGGGUUUGGAAAGGUGAGAAUGAUUUUCUUCCCCUCUAGAGCAGCUACAGCCUGUGUUCUGGGGGCAGGGAGACUCAGCUAUGAAAAAGCCAGCCUCAUUUUGGUAGUGUGGAAUGGUCCUAGGAUGCCUGAAUUCUAUGGCAGGAGAGACCUGCAGUGCUCAUGCUGCAGUGCCCCAGGUUGAGCAAGUUGGGUAAAGGAGACCAAGAAAGCUGAAAUGACUUGCCCAGGACCACAAAGCCAGCGAGUGGCAGAGCUGGGGUCAACCCUUUGUUCUGUGUCCCUGCAUUGACCCAGCUGCCCAGCUACCACGUUUUAGGAUAACAGAGUAUGUCCUUGUGAAGUAAGUCCUGGCUCCAGGGUGCACAGCUGGGACCUCACCCUUGACCCCAUGAUGUCUUCUGUUACAUAGGGAGCGGUGGUCAAUUUCCAAGCCAGGCAGAUCAGCAUGUUUCUCACUCCAGGAAGGUUUCCUGACCUCCUAAUAUCAAGGUAGGUGGCCCUGCUGGUCUCUUCUGGGAUUCCUGCGCCCAAUUUGUAUGUUUAUUUUUGCUCUCCCUGCCCUGGACUGUGAAGACGUGAUCUAGCGUUUCUUCUUCCUCGUUGUGCGUCCAGGGCCUUCUGUAUGCCCUAGCACUGAGUAGACCUCAGUAACUGUGUGUGUGGGUGAAUGACUGGGCCAGUUGAAUUCAUUCUGCUGUUGCUUCCCCUCAGGUAUUUUAGGCCCCAGUUUGAGUAUGUGUCCAUGGGGCACUGCCCUCCACCCAGGAAUGACCUCCUAGCCUCCUGUGGAAGCAGCAGGGCACGGGGGACAGGACCCUAAUGGCUUUUGGCCUAAGCUAGUAAAGACUCAUGGCUUCUCUCAGCUGCUUUCUUUCUACCCUUGAAACUUGAAGAAUAACUUGAGUAGAUGUCAAAUGUACUUACCAAGACAGACAUUCAAUAUCUGGACUUGCAAGCCUACUGGAAGCUCGCCAAGUGGCCCCCAUUGGGCUGCCUCACAUAGACCAUCCACCUGAUCACUUAGCACGCUGGCAGUGAAUGCCCACUGCGUGUUGGCCUGGUGGCUCUGCCUCUGUGUAGGAAGGGGGAUGAGCCAGCUGCUCAGAGCUCAGUCAGCAUCAGCUUUCUCAGACAUGGGGGAGGGUCUCAGGGGAAUGGUGACUCACUUAGAACAGGCUUCCUUGCACAGAAUGCCCUGUCCCUGUGUUAUACAGAGCAGGAAGCUUUAACUGGAUCAUUGCAUCUUGCCCCAGGAGGCAGCUAGCGGAGGUGGGAGAUGAAAAAACUGAGACUCAGAGAAGCUGAUGUGGCUUGCAUAAAAAUCUACACUAGUAACGACAGAAGUAGGACAAGAAGGCAGAUUCCUAGUCACCAAGUCCAGUAAGAUUUGGGGCAAUCACUGAGAAUUUUUGACUUCAGCAUAAAGUAAAGAAGAUAAGAAAGUAUCCAAGAGGCAUAAAAUUUUAAUCUGAAAGCAUUGCAAUAUGAUGACUCCUUGAGCAACAUAAGAAAUUUGGAGUUCCUUUAAAGCUGCAAACACGAGAAGUUUACUCCUUCCAACUUGUCGUUCUUGGCAAAGUAGGCAUAAAUGGCACCUCAUUCCUUCCGUUUCCAGUCGGAGGUGCUUCUGUUUUGAGCGUGUGUGUUCCUCUUUUCUGGAAGUUUUUCUUGACAGAAGCAGAGAGGUUUUUGACAAACAACUUUAAUAUUCUUUGUGUCUGUGUGGCUGGCUCUAAUAAUCCUGCAAGCUUACAAGGUCACUGUUAAGAUUAAAUCUGAGUCAUCGGAGGCAGAUGUUGACACAUCAUUAUUUAAAUCCUGAGCUGCUGAAGGACUCUCAUCCUCAUGAGCUGUGAUUCACUGUCCAAACGAACACCCCAAAUUCCACAUAGGUUGCUGAGCAGAGACUCUGGACUCCAUUAGGGAAAAAAGUUUGCCUUUGUGUGUGAGAAAGCCGUACUUUCUGUUGCAGAAGCAUGGUCUACAGGGAGAGUGAAUGUUUCAGCAGACCUGGGCUCCUGUCUCAUCUCUUGCUCUGGGCUUUAUUACCUGCUCUUCAUAAACUUUCCCAUAAUUUACACUUGCACGUUUAUUUAUAUGUUAUUGCUUUUUUAGUGAAGUAUACUUUUUAAAGUAAAAUGUGUUAUGUGUCCAGCUUGAUGAAAUUUUGCAAGCGUGUACUCUAAGUCAGCACCAUGCAUAUGACAACAUGGAACAUUUUCACCACCCCAGAAGGUUCCCUGUGCCCCUUCCCAAUCAGUAACCCUUCAAGGUAACUGCUGUUCUGACUUUUGAUGCCAUGGAUCAAUUUCCUCAGUUCUAGGAUUUCACGUAGAAGUCAAAUGGCACAUGCUAUUUUGUAUUUGGCUCUUUUGCUCAGAAAAAUACCUGUGAGAUUUAUCUGUGGUGUUGUGGGUAUCAGUGAUUUGUUACUUUUUAUUGCUGAAUACUAUCCCAUUGUAUGACUAUACUAAAAUUUGUUUAUUCAUUCUUUUGUCCAUGGAUACCUGGUUUGUUUUCAAACUUUGGCUAUUAUGAAUAAAGCUGCUAUACCUAUUCUUGUAUACA